rnacentral:rRNA from 1 species
UGGGGAAUUUUCCGCAAUGGGCGAAAGCCUGACGGAGCAACGCCGCGUGAGGGAUGAAGGCCUCUGGGCUGUAAACCUCUUUUAUCAAGGAAGAAGAUCUGACGGUACUUGAUGAAUAAGCCACGGCUAAUUCCGUGCCAGCAGCCGCGGUAAUACGGGAGUGGCAAGCGUUAUCCGGAAUUAUUGGGCGUAAAGCGUCCGCAGGCGGUCUGUCAAGUCUGCUGUUAAAGCGUGGAGCUUAACUCCAUUUCGGCAGUGGAAACUGACAGACUAGAGUGUGGUAGGGGCAGAGGGAAUUCCCGGUGUAGCGGUGAAAUGCGUAGAUAUCGGGAAGAACACCAGUGGCGAAGGCGCUCUGCUGGGCCAUAACUGACGCUCAUGGACGAAAGCCAGGGGAGCG